CACCACCCUUUGCAAUGCAACUAUAUAAUGUGUGAAUGUAAUAAUAAACGGGGAAGAAGUUUGUGAGCAGACUAAAAGGCUUCAUGUUCAUUUACUUCUUUCCAUGAGCUCAUGCAAGGACUGAGAAUGGUCGGACGGCAUCGAAAAGAUAAAGACAGAAUUAUGUGUUAUUUAACAGUGGGGGCUCGUCGGGAUUUCUGCAGACAGUUUAUAAUGCGGUUCUCUUGAGUGUUCAUUUUAUAGAAGCAACAAGACGACAUCUUGGGCAGCUGCCAAAGGGCGAUACAACAUGAAGAAAGAGGCAUUAUGGCUGUGAAGAACAGGAAAAGCUGAGGAGCGAUCGGCUACACCCCCUGUAAGAGGAAUCUGACACUUCUGGGAGGGGCUGGAAUGGAGAAAGACUGAAAACAUUGCAGACAUCUGCCAUGAGAGGCAGAGCGGAAGAUAACUGCAUCCCGAGUCAAAACUCCGAUGCCCCAUCAUAUCCUCAUCACCAAGUGACAGACUGGAAGACACUGCAGAAGGAAAAGACACUAAAACAGCCAAGACCUGUUCAAAUGACUUUCAGAGACUUUCAUCUUUUCCCUCGUGGGCAGGAGGAACAUCCUGAGUUCACACCAGGUGUGCCUCUAACCCAGGCAGGGGCAGAAGAGUCCCUUAGGGGGACCAGCGAGGAGAAUGAGCAAACUCAACUGGUGGCUUAAAAGCCCGCUGUUUGCUCCAACUGAUUAAGAUCCUGCCGGAAUCAAGGGAAGAUUGAGGAGCAACUCUUAGCAGGGAAAAGAGACUGAUUAAAUCAUCCUGAUCCUGACCUCAUUCUGAUACAGCAUGGAACGAAGAGAUUAUGAUGUGGUUUACAUUUAUCAGAAGAUUUAUUUUUUGUGUAUUUGAUUGACAUUACUGAUAAUGUUGUUGUUCUAGUAGUUGACUUGAGUUACUGCAUAGGUCUAUAGCACUGAUAUAGACUUUAAUAGAGUUAAUUUGUUAGAUUAACUUGAUUUUUACAUUAGAAUUAUUAAUAACACAAGCUAAAAUUAAAAGUGCAGCACAAAUGAGACUAGAUGAAAAAUUGGACCACCUCUAGAAGUCCACCUGACAUUAUAAACCUGAGAGCUAUAGUAAGUCAGCAACCCAGCAGACAUCCAGGUGACAUUAGGGGUUAGUUAUAUUGGCCCGAAUCUGACUGUCCUGGUUAAGGUCUCAUACAUUAAGCAUAUCCAGUUGGGGAUAAAGAGGUAUUUUUAGAAACCAAAGAUGUGAACAAUGUAAUGAAAAGCAUUUAAAUGUUUGCAGUCUAAUAUAUUAUGUUUUGAUAGAGAAUUAUGUGUAGGAAACCAGAAUUUGUAAGAAUAAUACUAAAAGUAUUAGGCCAUGGCUGCUUAACUGGUAAUAUGCCUGGCUGUACAGAAAGCUUGCUCACCUGUACAUGUUCCCUUGUAAAUAUGGGUGAGGAAAAUUGGCUAGAUAAUGCAGAUACACCACACAUUUGCUAAGAACAUGUAGUAGUGACUAGCCAACCAUAUUAUUAAGAUUGAGGCCAAGGAAAAGCUACAAGGCUUACAGUUACCUGCACUGCAAAAUGAACAGAUUAUGUUUAAAGGACAAAAUGUGUUAUAGUGGGAAUAUUAUGUUACACAGAUAACCCUCAUAAUGAGGCGGAUGGUAAAUGUUUGAUCAAGGUUGAUUGAUGCUGAUUGAUAAAGGUUUACUGAAUAUGUCUAGGAAUGCUUAGGAAUUAUAAGGCAAGGGAAGUAGCGAACACUCAGAAUGAUUUUUGCCUUGGUUCGCAAGUUGGUAAAGGAUGCUCGUGAGUGUGUUGAUGAAUAGAACUGUUGAAUGUGCUGAUCUUAAGUGGAAUGAGAAAAAUGCUGAGCUAAUGUUAAGAGAAGGGGAAUUGGGCAGAGAGCCUAUGUUGUUUAUUAUAUAAACAAAUGGGGGAACUGUUAGAUUAUAUUAUGCUCUCUGCCAGAUGUUUUUGUGCCUCUCUGCAAUCCCUCCUCCCUUCUUACUCCUUUUCUUCUGUCUUGCU
ensembl:lncRNA